rnacentral:rRNA from 1 species
AUGCAAGUCGAACGAUGAACCACUUCGGUGGGGAUUAGUGGCGAACGGGUGAGUAACACGUGGGCAAUCUGCCCUUCACUCUGGGACAAGCCCUGGAAACGGGGUCUAAUACCGGAUACGACACUCUCGGGCAUCCGAUGAGUGUGGAAAGCUCCGGCGGUGAAGGAUGAGCCCGCGGCCUAUCAGCUUGUUGGUGAGGUAACGGCUCACCAAGGCGACGACGGGUAGCCGGCCUGAGAGGGCGACCGGCCACACUGGGACUGAGACACGGCCCAGACUCCUACGGGAGGCAGCAGUGGGGAAUAUUGCACAAUGGGCGAAAGCCUGAUGCAGCGACGCCGCGUGAGGGAUGACGGCCUUCGGGUUGUAAACCUCUUUCAGCAGGGAAGAAGCGAAAGUGACGGUACCUGCAGAAGAAGCGCCGGCUAACUACGUGCCAGCAGCCGCGGUAAUACGUAGGG